rnacentral:rRNA from 1 species
UACGUAGGGUGCAAGCGUUGUCCGGAAUUACUGGGCGUAAAGGGCUCGUAGGUGGCCAACUAAGUCAGACGUGAAAUCCCUCAGCUUAACUGGGGAACUGCGUCUGAUACUGGAUGGCUUGAGUUUGGGAGAGGGAUGCGGAAUUCCAGGUGUAGCGGUGAAAUGCGUAGAUAUCUGGAGGAACACCGGUGGCGAAGGCGGCAUCCUGGACCAAUACUGACACUGAGGAGCGAAAGCCAGGGGAGCAAACGGG